rnacentral:lncRNA from 11 species
AUGCACUUGUGGAACCACUGCUGUAUCCAAUCGUUGCCCAUACUGGGAAGGAAGAGGUAAAGUUCACAAGCACAAGAAACAAAACAGUAACAAGAUUGGAAGCAUACUCUGGAAACUCUGCUAUCAGGAAUAGCACUGAGGAAGAUUUUGUCCUGUAUUGCAGCUAAGACCUUGGUACCACUUCAAGGAAAACAAAAACAUUUCUUAUACUUUUUGAGACCAGAGCAACUUCAUUCAAAAACAAGAAAUAUACAUAGAGGGAAAACUGCAAAUCCAAGGAGUGGGAAGUGAAGACACAUAAGAAGUAAACAAUGUGAUCAUCUCAAGGUUAUUAGAACAUAUACAAAACAAGUAUAAUGACCAUGUAUAACAGCAAGAACAAGAUAAAUCUUUCCUCUGGAUUCAUCGCCUGUGGUAAUA